GCAAGUAUAGUUUCAAACCAAACAUUAGAAUGUGACUCUAAAAAUAGAAGUUAAAACCUUCUUACCUGCC
rnacentral:tRNA from 1 species